rnacentral:lncRNA from 12 species
CAAAAAAAUAAAAAAAUAAAAACAGCCAACAACCUAGCAGUCAUUUGCAUGCUAGCUGCUGGCAGCCAGUUCCUGAAUAGCACUGUUCUGUUCUGGGCCCUUAAAUAGGUCUCGUUCUAUACUAAUAUCCAAAACAAUUGUGGUAGUGUGACAGAGCUGUGCUCAGGUCUCAAGGUGGUGCUUUCGGGAGACUGGGUAGUCGAGUGUCUUGGGAGCCAGAUCCCACAGAGGCACUGGAGGUGGGGCCAGUUUGACCAGCAAAGGGGCAAGGGCAGGACCAUUACACAACAGAGUUCCCAGAGUUAACUCAUAUGUGUGUCUAAUCUGACCGCCCCUCCCCGCUCCACCUACACAGAUGUGCCCUUUAAAUAUUUAUUUGCCCACCUUUGCUGCGUUGUGGUAGACUUUGUCUCAAAAGUCAGCUUGAUCCCUUUGAAGGUGUUUACUAAUUAGAUCAGGCUGGGAAGUUAGGCAACUGCAGAUAAAUUGAUCCCGUGUAAGGUAGCUCCUGGGCAUGAGACCCCUAGACAGCCUCAGGGAGGUCAGCUGCAGCUCCCCACUUUCUUUGUUUAUUGGAGGAAGUCCUAAUGAUCGCCCAAUUAAGCUGAAUGGCUUUGCCUCUGUUUCUGCCAUUAGCCGCCCCCCUCCCCCCUAAAACAAGUGGAAAGGCAGACAUCAGAGUGGCUAAAUGCUCUUAGCAAGUACGAUCCGUUGUGCGCUGGGCUCACUUUGACAUAAUCCACAUGAAAUUCUUGCUCAGUGACACAGCAUCUGGGCCGGAGGUAUUGACUUGCAUCUGAGCUUGGCUUGAAAGGGAUAGUACCGCAGCAGUAAUUCCAGUUCAGUAGACCCGCAGGUCACUGCCCUCAAAUAUUUAAACAUAAUAUUUGCUUCAGGAGAAUCCGGGCACGUGCAUGAGCGUAUGUGCGUGGGACCUGUGUGUGUACGCUUGGGUGUAUACAUCCAGCUGAUAGAACUUCAGAAGAGGCGAAGCAUAAAGGGAGGGGGAGACCUUUAUUAUCCUGGGUCUGAAGGCAGCCUCAGGCAGGUUCAUCUGAUGGCCUUCAGCCACCUUGGCUAUUGUCACUGUUCUGAUAGUGAGGCUGAAUGAAUCACAAUGAAGAAGCAAAACUUGUUGGGGCUUCCCAGAGAGGAAUCUGGCCAACUUUCCUGAUGAAGCUUUAUGAGAGAGGUGAGUGCAACCGCUGAUCUUUACCAAGGUGACUGUGGCUCGGAGUUUUUAUACUCCGCCGUGCUUUGUAAAGCUUUUAUGAAAUCUCUGUCAUCCCCUUGGUGG